UUUUUUCAUUUUCUUUCUUCUUCCUUAUCCUUUUCUCUCUUUCUCAGCCUCACCCGCCGCUUCGCCCGUCAUCGGCGAUCGCAGCACUCGCCCGCCGCCGCCGCUCCACCAGUCCACCCACAGCGCGAGCAGCGUGCUCAGCAUGUACACCAGUAGCCUCCCCGCCAGCCGUGGCGCCGACCGAUAGUCCACCCCGCCGUCCCGCAUCAGCCCUAACAAGAACCCCUCGUCGUGCGGCACCCUCCUUGUGUAGCACAGCCACCUCGCCGCCGAGGCGCUUCUGCGGGACUCGCCCGUGCCGGCGUCGGUGUCCUCGCCGCCCCCCCCCCCCCCCCACAUCGUCCGUGGCCCUGUGGAAGUAGAUGCGGCGGGAGUCCUCCUCGAACGCGACGGCGGUGACGUCGCCCGCGCGGAGGCCAGUCAAGAGGUCCGAGUAGGCCACCUCCUUGGCUGCAUUCUUGGGCAGCGCGAGGCGGACAGCGAGGAGGAGGAACGCCAGGACGAUGGGCGCCACCCACCGCCCUUCCCAGUAGUCACAUCUAGCCUCCUCCCCUCCUCCUGCCAUUGAUGGAUGCUUACCUAAUUUGCCGGAAGUGACGACGGACCGGAGCGCGGCGUUCCACAGCGCGUCGACAGGGUAAAACCAGAGGAGGUUGAAGAGAAACAAGGUGAGCACGGCGCAGACGAGCCAAGCGGAGACGACUCUAUUGAGGAAGCUGCAAAGGUUGCUGGUGGUGGUGGUGGUGGUGGUCGCCGGAGUUGGACACGACAGCCGGGUGGCGCCGUGGCCCGUGACGCGGUGGCUCGCGCGUGGCCAUAGCUAGCGCGUACGACGAGGACGACGAGGUCGUACGACGUCGAACAGGCUACCUGUUCAACCGAAUGCAGCAGGGAGACAACUCUCAGCUUGAUCGUGUUUGCAACUAUGCACCAACAGUGUCUCCAGUGGGCUGAGUUCUGCACUAUCCACCUGUAUAUGUAUUGGUCAAGAAAGUGAGCACAGAUGUAUGUAUUCAGUUCUGAAAUGAUUACUUGUUAAUAGUUAUUAUCAGUCUGCCGUAGUUUUGAUUCUUUCUUCUUGAGAGAGCUAUAUUAUGCUUGUAAGAUUGUGGCAAGCUUGGAUUCUUUAUUCUACUUGCGCAUUACUACUUACUUUACAUACCAUCUGAAUUCUGUUGUACCACCUUUCUAAGUAGGAUCAUUUUCACUCUCAUCUAGAAUGCACGCACGUUAAUGUUUAGUUUGAUCACCAUCUUUAUCCCAUAUAUGUGAUGCUGUGCAAAAACUGAACAAGGGAUAGACGGGUGGGAGGCGAGGAGAUGGCGGAUCCGGCCGCCGCUCCGCACCCCACGUGCGCGGAUCCAGCUGCGCUGGGGUGUGUCCGAUGUGGAUGCGGGCGGCAUGACGGCGGAUCCAGCGUGGUUCUUGCACGGGUAAUGGCGGACACGACUGUGACGAGCGACUGCGGGCGGGAGGCGAGGCGGCGGCGGAUCCGGCCACCACUCUGCCCCACGCACACGGCGCGACCUCCGCGGCGGCGAGCCUAGACUCCGAUGGAUAUGGAGGAGCAGCAGCGGCCACCUCCAUGACGCGCCACUGUCAAUGUCCGGAGCAAGCGCCAAUAAAAAUUUAACUUAUUCUUAUAGAUUGUGAGGAUGUAUAUGUUCAGUCAAAAUUUUCUUGUCAUACCAAGUUAAUUUUUUACUCUGUAAGGAUACCAAGCAUAUGAUGUAUAUGGAAAGGGGUUUCUAAUGAAUACAUAGCGCCGGCUUUAUUAAGAGGAA